GCAUUGAAACACCAGUUUCCUUAUGAUCACUGAAGUUAAGCAACAUCAAGCCUGGUCAGUACCUAGAUGGGUGACUGCUUGGGAAUACUAUGUGCUGUAAG